rnacentral:rRNA from 1 species
AGCAACGCGUGGGUAACCUGCCUCAUACAGGGGGAUAACAGUUAGAAAUGGCUGCUAAUACCGCAUAAGACCACAGUACUGCAUGGUACAGUGGUAAAAACUCCGGUGGUAUGAGAUGGACCCGCGUCUGAUUAGGUAGUUGGUGAGGUAACGGCCCACCAAGCCGACGAUCAGUAGCCGACCUGAGAGGGUGACCGGCCACAUUGGGACUGAGACACGGCCCAG